rnacentral:rRNA from 1 species
AUACGGAGGAUGCAAGCGUUAUCCGGAUUUAUUGGGUUUAAAGGGUGCGUAGGCGGUUUGCUAAGCGGGAGGUGAAAUGCCGGCGCUCAACGUCGGAAGUGCCUCCCGAACUGGUGGACUUGAAUGACUCUGCCGUGGGAGGAAUGUGUAGUGUAGCGGUGAAAUGCUUAGAGAUUACACAGAACACCGAUUGCGAAGGCAGCUCACGAAGGGUUGAUUGACGCUGAGGCACGAAAGCGUGGGGAUCAAACAGGAUUAGAUACCCUGGUAGGCCACGCAGUAAACGAUGAAUACUAGGUGUAGGGGGUAUCGACUCCCUCUGUGCCGCAGUUAACACAAUAAGUAUUCCGCCUGGGGAGUACGGCCGCAAGGUGGAGACUCAAAUGAAUUGACGGGG